rnacentral:rRNA from 1 species
GAUAAACGCUGGCGGCGUGCUUAACACAUGCAAGUCGAACGAAGUUUUUCUUUCGGGAGGAACUUAGUGGCGGACGGGUGAGUAACGCGUGGGUAACCUGCCCUGUACAGGGGGACAACAGCUGGAAACGGCCGCUAAUACCGCAUAAGCCCUUGGCACUGCAUGGUGCUUAGGGAAAAGGAGCAAUCCGGUAUAGGAUGGACCCGCGUCUGAUUCGCCAGUUGGCAGGGUAACGGCCUACCAAAGCGAUGAUCCGUAGCCGAUCUGAGAGGAGGUACGGCCACAAUGGGACUGAGACACGGCCCAGACUCCUACGGGAGGCAGCAGUGGGGAAUAUUGCACAAUGGAGGAAACUCUGAUGCAGCGACGCCGCGUGAGUGAAGAAGUAUUUCGGUAUGUAAAGCUCUAUCAGCAGGGAAGAAAAUGACGGUACCUGACUAAGAAGCACCGGCUAAAUACGUG